UACGUAGGGGGCAAGCGUUGUCCGGAUUUAUUGGGCGUAAAGAGCGUGUAGGCGGCCAGACAGGUCCGUUGUGAAAACUCGAGGCUCAACCUCGAGACGUCGAUGGAAACCGUCUGGCUAGAGUCCGGAAGAGGAGAGUGGAAUUCCUGGUGUAGCGGUGAAAUGCGCAGAUAUCAGGAAGAACACCCGUGGCGAAGGCGGCUCUCUGGGACGGGACUGACGCUUAGACGCGAAAGCGUGGGGAGCGAACAGG
rnacentral:rRNA from 1 species